AGGAAUGUGGCUUAGUGGUAGAGUGCUUGCCUAACAUGCAUGAAGCCCUGAUAUCAUUCCUU
rnacentral:tRNA from 1 species